rnacentral:rRNA from 1 species
GACGAACGCUGGCGGCGUGCCUAAUACAUGCAAGUUGAGCGAUGAAGAUUGGUGCUUGCCCCAAUUUGAAGAGCAGCGAACGGGUGAGUAACGCGUGGGGAAUCUGCCUUUGAGCGGGGGACAACAUUUGGAAACGAAUGCUAAUACCGCAUAAUAACUUUAAACAUAAGUUUUAAGUUUGAAAGAUGCAAUUGCAUCACUCAAAGAUGAUCCCGCGUUGUAUUAGCUAGUUGGUGAGGUAAAGGCUCACCAAGGCGAUGAUACAUAGCCGACCUGAGAGGGUGAUCGGCCACAUUGGGACUGAGACACGGCCCAAACUCCUACGGGAGGCAGCAGGAGGGAAUCUUCGGCAAUGGACGAAAGUCUGACCGAGCAACGCCGCGUGAGGGAAGAAGGUUUUCGGAUCGUAAAACUCUGUUGGUAGAGAAGAACGUUGGUGAGAGUGGAAAGCUCAUCAAGUGACGGUAACUACCCAGAAAGGGACGGCUAACUACGUG